AUGACCUUUAACGACCCCCAUCUCCUAUCCCCCGGAAGUGCUUGCUGCUCGCAGAAAAGAAAAAAACAUAGACGGAGAGGAGAGAAAAACCUUCCAAAUUCCAGGACGGGAAAGAUGCCAUCACAACACUACCAGGCUGUUUACUUUAUGAGCAGGACGUCUUCCUGCUCCUUCUCCAGGAUGGAAACUUACCCACUUUGGCAAAACCAGGGUCUCAGCAGUCUGCUCCGCCCUUUGAGCACAGGGAUGCCAAUAGCUUCUUCCUUACUUUCAUUAGGGUUUGUUAAUCACUCUUCUUGUAACCUCCCGCUGUGCUCACAUAGAACAGAUUCUAAUUCAAAGAUCCUGGUAGAUUCUUUUUUCUUCAACACCCUGUUCCUAAGGAGCUUCAUCUCCUAGUCCUUGCACUCUGAACCCUGUGCCUCUGUGUGCCUGUUAUGGUUUAGAUCUAAAAUAGCCCCUAAAAUCUCACGUGUUUGGAAGUUGAUCCGAUGGGGCGGUGGCUAUGCUCAUCAGUGGUUUCAGGCACUGAUGAGCUCAUAGAUGAAUGUGCUGUUAGGAGGUAGAAUUAUACGUUUACCUGGAAGGUAGAAUCACCAGUGCCACUCUGUGGGGAGACUGUAAAAGCUGGAGAUCCGUGUGUGUAAAUAAUAGAGAAGAGGAGCUCUUCCCAUAUGGCAAUGCUUCUUUCUUUUCCCCUAUUUACUCUAUCCAAGGUACAAAUUUAUGGGUUGGUACCAGUCACACCCAGAGUGGAUCUUCUCCCCUCUGUUCUCUGGCUGUUUGGGCUUGCAUCUAGUAACGUACUGUAGAAAUGAUCACUGAAAGUAUAGCCUUUGGGCUUAUAUCUAGAUGUUCCGCCAAAGCCCCAUGCAUUUAUCGGUGGGGCUUUUUGUAGUAGGUGGCUGGAUCUAGAGUGUAUAACGUGGAUCAGGGGUGUCUGAAUAUCAAUUGAUAAUUGAGUUAUUCCUGUGGUUGGCUUAGCAUAGUUCUGUGUGUGUACAGUGGGAGUGUAUGUAUGUGAUGCCAACGAUAGGGCUCAUCCUCAGUGUGAGUGGAACCGACCAAUAGGUUUGUAGCCUGAAAGAAAUAAAAGGGACAGAGAGACUCUCGGCUUUGCUGCUUUCUACCUCCUGCCUAAGCCCUGCGUACCCUGCUAUGGACUGCUUCUCCUCUGCCAGGCAGCUCUGCCAAGCUGCCCAGCCUCGGAGCCAGAUGGCUAUGGACUGGAACCUCUAAAAACUGUGCACUGGAAUAAAUCUUUCCUCCUUUAACUUGUGGGUGUCAGAUGUUUUGUUCCAGCAGCCAGAGAAGUAACUAAGACACAGGCCUAUGUGUCAAUCACCCAUAGACACACCCAGAACUGUGCUUUACUCAUCUGCUAAGUGGUUGUCACUCAAAUCAAGUUGAUUAUCACAAUUAACACUCACAGCCUCAUUUUGAAAACAUCACCAUGUAGAAAGGAAAGAGGAGUCUUUAUUUCCCUGGUCGUACGUAUCUAACAUCAUUCACACUUAGGAUGGAAUUCACAGAUCAGAAAUUUCUCAAAUAUGGGGCUGGGGAUUUAGCUCAGCUGCACAGUGCCUGCCUGGCAAGUGCAAGGUCAUGGGUUCGAUUCCUGAUACCGGUUAAAAAAAAAUAAAUAAAGAAAGAAAUUUCUCAAAUAGGUAUUUGUUCCCCAUGUUAAAGGGGAAGUAGGGCUGGGGAUUUAGCUCAGUGGCACAGCACCUGCCUGGCAAGCACAAGGUCGUGAGUUCAAUUCCCGGUACCGGAAAAAAAACAGAAAAAAUAAAAUAAAGUAAAAUAAAGGGGAAGAAAAGAGAACAUUCUUGUAAUUUUCCAAAGAAAUAAAGCAAAAGAAUAUCCAGUCAGCAUUCUGACUGCAUGGUUCGAAUGGUUCCAAUGUCUCUUGGCGAUUCAAACUUUGUCACUUGGGCUUCCAUUUUUUUUUUUUUUCCCUUAAAGAGUUUUAGUGCCAGCACAGACAAGGGUCCUUUGCUGUUUGUUGAGUGUGUCCCCACAGUUGGGACCUCUCGUGCGGAGAGGAUGGAAAAUAAAGUUUCUACCCAAGGUGACUUUUCCUACACUAGCUACAACUUCCCUUUUUUUUUUUUUUUGGAGUUCUUUGUUUUCUUUCUUUUUUUUUUCCAUUUUAAAGAGAAUUUUUAAGAAGAACAAUAGCAAAAUGCCAACAAUGUAGACAAAAACAAAACAAAGCAAAACCAAUAAGAAUGAUACAGGGUCUCAGAACAAAAUGAUAGGGAUUAACAGUGGUUGUUAUAUUACACAUUUUUAUCUUCAUCGAAGUUGGUCAGACAUAAGAAUGCAAGAUUAAUCAAACCAUUUUUCUUCUCUUUAAUGGUCUGAUUAAUCUUACAACUUCCCUUUGUCAUAAAUGCAGUUGUUCAGUAUAGAAAGAAGCGGUCACUUCCGAUUCUAACACCUGGUGGUUUUGUGUGAGCACAGACAAUCCCUUCUGUCUACUGCUGAGUACACAGUUGACUGGCUUUCAGUGUGUGCGUUCUUAAUUGUUCUACCAACCUCACUGCAAAGAGCACAAGAGUAAAGGUAAAUCACAUUAUUCUUAGGUUAUAGGCCAAUUGAGGAUUAACUUGCAUAUUUUGUGAAUCCCCUCUUACUUAGAAAAAUAAUGCAUUUGGGCUCAAGAGUACUAAACUAUGAACAGCCAGGAUUUUCCUUCUGUGAUUUUUCUAGUAUGUCAAAGAAUUAAAGUAAUGAAAUUAGGGACAUUAUUAUAAAUUCAGACUGGAUGAAUUCAGGUCUCAAUUGAUUUAAUGAAACACUGACAAACCUCAACCAUCAUUGUUUCCAUCAAGAUUUAAAAAUAACUCUGCCCUUUUAUAUUAUCGGAGUUCUCUGGAAAUAUGUUAAGGUUUAAUUCCAGGAUGAGUAACUAAUGGCAUAGUAACAGUAGUUCUUUUUCCUCUCCCAAACUCCAGAAUAUUUGCAGUGAGCUAAUCUUCCCUAGAGGAGACCAAGAGUUUAAUGAUUCCGUGCAGGUAAUUUGACAUGGGGCCUGAGUGAAAAGAUGCACUGAAAUGACGCACAAAAUGGGAAACUGUGGGGUCCAGAAAGCAAGCCACAGGUGAGGCUGGCCACGGCACCCCGCAACCCUGAUAGUGGGGGAGUUCUCAGGCUAAUGAGCUGCUGCCCUCUAUUUUGGUCACAGCGGCCAGCCAUGCUCAGCACGAAUUCUGCCUCUGAAAUAUGAUAACCAUGAUUUGAAAAAUGAUGGAAUUAAUUGAAAUGAUAAAAUAGCAUCUGUUAAGAUAACUCUUGGCAAGGUUCCCAG
ensembl:lincRNA